UGCAGUGGCUCAGUGGUCAAGUCUUUGAAUAACACAUCAGAAGGUUAUGUGUUCAAAUCCCAGCACUGCCA